CACGGCCUCGCCUUCCCCAAGCGAGAACGGGUCGACACCCAUUUAAAAUAUUAAAUUGUCGCCGUUUGCAACCCAAACACCUCGGUGUUGCAAAUAAAGCCUAAGGAAGGAAAUUACUCAGUCAGCGUCGCUGCACCCUGUCCUCGUGUCAGCAUUACAGAGACCUGGUCCAGGUUCCUUUCUGAGAUAUUUUCAGUGAAAAACUGUCUGGGCUGCUCACUCCUUAACAAGGAAGAGGACAACUCUGCUUUCCAAAACUUUUCCACACUAAGAGAGACAGAAGAGAACUAGAUACUUCCAUAUGUGAUUCAUCAUUAUCCACUGCUACAUUGGGAUGAGACUUUCAGAUCUCCCCAGAAUCAGAAAAAAUUCCUCAGCCUUGGAAGCACCUCUUUGUUUGGAUUGUUGCACAUAUUGUCAGUGCGUGGCUAUUGAUUCAACAACUCAGUGGACAAAAGGACCAUUCUGGAUUCUUACACUUGCCUUUAAAUGAAAGUUGUCAAUUAGCCCCUUCAGUUUCAAAGGAGUUUAAGCUGACCAAACAAUCUGACACCUAUUCACUCACACAAAGGGGAAGAAAUCAGAAGAAGUAAAUACUGCAUAUUAAGUCUCCUUGUCUAUGAAAUCCAAAGAGUUUCCAAAAUCUCUGAUACUGUCUAAACUCUUCAUUCCAGGAUCUAAAGUGUGUAUUCAUGCCACCAUUGUCUCAGCUGCAAUUGAACACUGCAAUGACUUUUAAUCUGAUUGCUUUCUUCUCUCUCUCUUGUUCCUUGACCCUGGACUUGUCAAAAUGCUCUGAUUGUAUAGUUCAGCUCUUUGAAUCUCUCUAAUUCCACUUCAUUUAUUUAUUCCAUAUUCUGUAGUUAUUUCCUUUACUUCUUCAGCCAAAGGAACUUCUUUGUCUUCUCUUAUCAUAACCUCUUAAACCUCAUAUUGCUUUGUUGGAUCCUGUUCCAGGGUCAUGUUUGCCUAUAGAAGGACUCUGUAUUUUGUUGGAAACUGGAAUUAGUCCACUACUCACCUGCAUUACAUUUUUCUAAAUAUCCAUAUUUGAGUUUUUCCCCUACACUUGCAUCAACACACGGGCUAUAAUUUUUACCCAGGCAAGGCAUUUUUAGUGCAUUGGAGUUCCCUACAUUUUAUGGAAUUGAUUCAAACCUCCAGAGCCUGUCUGUGAUACAAGGGUUAAUACUAGGAAUGAACAAGAAGCAUUUCUGAAAACUGCCAGACUAACUGGAAAGCCAGGUGGGCCAAGGUGGUCAAGAAAGCAGCUUGGCUUUAGGUCCUAUGUUUUAUGGGUCAAGCCUGGAGCCAUUCAUAGGAUCACAAAACCAUUUAGAUUGGAAAAAAGCCUUUAAGAUCAUUAAGUCCAACUCUAAAGCUAACACUGACAGGUCCAUCACUUAACCACGCCCCGCUGAUACAUCCCUUAGUGCCACAUCUACAUGUCUCUGAAGCACCUCCAGAGAUGGUGGCUGAAAAGUUAAAUAAUUCAAUAGAUAAUUUCUGUUACGGCUCUCCUCUAAGAUUGUGAAAGACCAUUUUCUAAAUCUACAUUCUGCCUGAUAUCCAGAUGAGACUUCAACCCACAUCUCCUACAGCUCAGUCUAAACUCCCAAGUUAUAUCUCUUUUUGAUGUGUGUUUCUCUUUCUGCUCUGCUGAAGACCUACAACAGCUGUACCAUCAAAUUCAACUGUACGGAGGGACAGACCAUCUUAGGUGAGAUCAGGCUUUGAAGCAGAGGAACUCUUAGAACAGAUCAGCAAUUUUUUUAGCAAAACAGUUUUUGGCAUGAAAACACACUGGUUUGUUAACCAUGUUUUUUUGCAAAAGUCGAAUCUACCUGAGUGUGGUUACUGGUUCAGGCACUGGUGAUCUGCACUGUGAGAGUACCUAAUGUAUUAUUUUGUGUACUGCUCAGUGUCCUAGCCACCUCUCUUUCUCUACAAGUUUUCUUGAAUUCUUCCUUGUAUUUUUCUUUUGAUUACAAAAUUAUUAGCCAGUACUGGGAGGUGGUGUAUAUAUCUCUCAUGUAUUUAUCUUUUUUGAAAAAAAGAAAAUCCAUUUUUUUCUCUGUUACUGAGAAUAGAGUAAUAAUUUUCCUCUUUGUUGUGGAAUAGGGGGCAUGUUUUUAGCCAACUCCAUUUAAUGUCUCUUCCAAUAAUCUGUCUCAUGUGCAGAUUUUCUUGUAAAAAAAGUCCCUGCAGUAAUUCACAUUCUAGUUCUUUAAAUAUAUAAUGACAGUCCAUGUUAUGAAAUAUAUUAACUUCUCAGUCACAUUUCCUAUUACCCAGGUAGAAAAGAUGCAAAGUUCCAGUCUACAUCUCUCUUGAGUCCUACUAUGGCAGCUUCUGAAAGGGCUCCUGGUUUUGUGUGUCCUGCCAGGAGGAGUGGCUGAAACUCACAAGGAUCUCAUCUCAUCUUAUCUCUUCUGCCAGUGACCUGUGACAAACCAGAGGCAGCCCUAAAUACCUCAGAGGCAAGGUACAAGGAAAACUGUGUCAGACAUAUCUAAAUUAACUGGCUCCUGAAGAAAGACUCCUUCCAUCCUGUCAUUAUUAAAAAAGGAAGGAAAACAAAACGCAGAAAACCAAAAAUCCCAAAACAAACAAAACCUGAAGCUUUGAAGGAGAAAGGUAAAAUUGCUUUCGCUGGCACGAUUAUCACUGUUCACUGCUGCAUUCAGCAUGCUGCUCAAUGUGAUAAUGAGUGAUGUCUUUUUUCCAUCACUUCAAUACAGGUUUUCUUGUGAAAAGUAACCUGUCUGGAGAUCUGGAGAGUGCACUCUAAGCUGAUGUGAUUAGACACUUGUGACAGUAGGAGAGCCACUGACUACAGGCCCUUCAGUUGGGAGUGGUCUCCAUUGAGAACAACAUUCAGUAACUUGCUGAAACAGGAGUCUCAAUAACUCUGCAUUUCAGUUCAGAGCAUGCCAAGCUGCAAUUCAUUUCUUGCUGUAGUCCUCACGUCCCAUAAAGCCUAUAUAGCUCAAGCAUUUCAGAAAGGAAGAGGCAUUUGGAACAUGAUAUGAAAUAUAACCUGAGUUUCUGUUCACUCUUCCACAUGUUGCAUCAUUUAUUAACACUGUCCCUUCUUAACAAGUCUAGAUGAUGAAGCUUCUGCAAAAUCUGUCUGACCAGCUGCCUGUCUGUCUCCCACGUACUAAACACAAAGCAAAGCUCAUAGGCUUGUGUGCACUUUUCAGCUUUGGUCCUUCCAGAAGUGUCUUUAAUUAAAGUGGGAGAAAAAUCAACCCUCCAAAAAACGUCUGAGAAAACAAGAUUAUACCUUGCAUGAACAAGGGAGAGACUGAGAUGCUUUUUCAGCUUGUGGUGUUCAACUGUGCAGCAGGCAUUGCAUGCUGUAGUGCUUUAUGGCAUCUCUCUGCUGUAAAGGCUGAUUAAAAAAGAAAGGUAGAUGAAUAGACUGCAGUCUCUUCAAGAUGCAAGACAAGGAAAAAAUUGGUCUGGAAGCCUGCUGAAGAAAGAGACUGUUUGGCAAUCUGGUGCAAUAUGAGCAGCUCACCCUCCUGUUUCUCCAUCUCAUGUUGUAAGCCAAAGCAGUUCCCAACUGCCACGUUUGGAAGAGAAUUAAAAUCACAUUGUGACUGAUCCAAGAAUCAGACCUGAAAUGUGGAAGGCAACAUUUGCAGCUGACUGGAGGAAGAGGUCAGAUGUACUCAAAGAUGUUGAGAGGCACUAAUGCAUGGACUGACCAGUUUAUGGAACAGGAUGAAGGAUGGAAAACAAGACAAUUGUGCCAAGAGAAAUUAUUUCAAUCACUCAAUGUGCCCUGAAGUGUUCUGCAUAAACUUAAAGGUUGGAUGGGAGAAAGAGGGUUUCUGCUUUCUUAACUGCAUUGUACAUGCAACAGGGAGAGUGAUUUAUGGACUAGGUGCUUAUGAUCUGUAGCACAAAAUGAAGCCAAAUAUUGAAGUCUUCCAUGUUUCACACAUUCAUAGUUGCUUCAUUCAAUAGUUCACAUGUGAUGGAUGGGAUAACAACACUUGCUAAACUUCAGGCACAUGAAGUACUAAACCCUCAAUUUUCCUUGUUUUCCCAACUAUUGAUGUCACAAUAUGCAUCCAUUCUGGUCAGUGGAAAUGGUUUUUGCAGGUUGAGUAAUCCUUUGUACUGUGCACUACUAUUAUUUUCCUCUGGAAUCUUCCCAUUGUAGAAAAUUCUGUGUAUUUGUCUCUUUGUAACAUUGGUUACAACAUGCUGUGAAAUACGUACCUGGAUUGGUGAGGUCUGAGUCAGAUUUUCUGCCCCUUUGUGCUGCUUUUCAUGCCUUUCACCUUUACUGACUUCAGCAGUACGCAAACUCAGAGGCUUUAAUUAAAAGGACAAAUUCUGCUUGUGUUUGUGUUGUGAUGAAGGCCUGGGUAUUCCUUUGGGUGAAGAUGAGUGUUACUGAGGUCAAGAUGUGGUCCAUCAUUAUCUCUGAUGUAACAGUGUGAAGGAAACAAUCAUAGCUACUUAGUUUUUUGACUGUUGGUAUAAAAUCAGUGUUGCUUGGUCUGUUGUGCCACUAUUCAUCUGUAGAUGCAGACCGAGGUAGGAUGAACCAGGAGGGAUAGUGAGCACCCUUGCUGGAGCUGACAGUUGUCAGAAGAAAUGUUUAUUGGGAAAAAAUUAUUGUCUCAACUUGCUGAUGACCUUAACUUGCUCUUUAUAGAAGACAGCUUGACUGAUGCAUAAUUGUAUCCUGAGAAAUUUGUUUGCUCAAAUUUUAAAGGAAAUAGUUAUUUUUUAUUCUGUUACUUUACAAUGCUUUAUCAGUAAAGACAACAAAACAUUGUUUAAAUGGAGUACCUCAAAGAUGCAAAAAAUGAAUCAAUUUCUUACAGCAGUGCUUGUCUCUCUAAUGGAAACCCCCAGGAUGGAUGGGCUUCUGUUUCUUGCUGCAAAUGUUAGCUAUCAUGUAGAGGAGCUAUUGCUCUAUCAGAAAUCAUGCCUAAGUCUGUUAUUCCAAGGACACAAUUUUUUAAAUAAAGAAGUGAUUUUGUUAUUUUAAAGCCUUGGUAAAUAAAGACAUAAAAAAGGGGUUCAUGCAGAGACAUGGCCAUAAUUCUGGGUGGGAAGCUAUGAUGCUAGUUUACUUCAUUUUGUUUUAGGGAAGGGGACAGAGUUAGACAUGAGCAACAAUCUAUACAAAGUCAUUUAUCAAGCUUUCCUGGAGUCACUGUGAUGUCCUUGAAAGUAGACUGCUUCAUUUCUUACAUACUCUGAUGUGGAAGAGAGAUGGCUGUUCUAAAUCUCAAACAUCGAGAAAGGCAAUGUGCAAACAGCUGGCACUAGCUUUUAGCAAAAAUUCGGGAAUGUGCUAACACAGGAAUAGAGCAGCUACAAAUUAUUCUGACAAAUAUUUGUUGUCACACAGAGGCUGGCUUCCCUGUACUGACUGUGCUGCAAGAUUUUACUGUCUUUUCCUCUUCUUACUGAAGAUCUUGGACACUUAAAGGUGCAUGGUCAAUAGAUGGCAGCAAGUCAUUUAUCCUGACUCUUACCUCUUCUGGGCAGUCCUCUGUGCACAAUCAGUGCUCACCCUCCUGUUUUAACAAAACACCUUCUUCUUCUUUGCAAUUCUAAAGGCUGCAAUGAGAUGUAUAAGCCAAUGACAGUUAAUCAUAUGUUUCAUCAAAGAAAUAUCCUCUUUCAAAUAUCUGGCAUGUCUGUUUUUACAAACCCCCUAACACAGUUUAAACUCUAUGUUUCUUUAGUCCAACAAUUAUAGACCCCUUUAACUGGUAUUCAGAGUGAUAAGAAUUAGUGAUUUCCUGUGGGAAUGCUUUAUCAAGGCACAGCAGAGGAGAUGGUGCUAGAGGGGAACCUCUACACCUUACAUAGAUGUCUACCCCAUGAAGACCUUACAUGUUGUCAUGGCAGUGAGUGAAACUGGCAGGAAGAGAAAGUUGAUGACAGGAAUUUACUGAAUGAAGAAAAAAAGCAGUAAUUCUUCAAAGUACAGGAGCUGAAAAUAAUGUUGCUCACAGAAAUUUUCCUUCCAGGAACUGCAGUAAAACUCAUUAUAUCUCCCAAACUACCACAGUUCCCAAAAGGAGUUUUCAUCUGUUAGUUUAGUUAAGGAGCUUUGACACCAUGCUUUCUCCAGUCACAGUGCUGCCUCUGACACUAAUCUUUUGUGCAGCUUUGAAAAUGGAUGAGAAAAUCUUUUGAUGAAAUCUGUAGGAAUCCAGAAAGUGAAACCUGUAUAUGGCCCACUACAGUCUUUUCCCUCUGUAACCUUUACUGUUCCCUGAUAUUCCAAUAUAACUGUCUUACAGCAAGAAAUUCCUGUGAAGGAAGAUGAGGGAGAGGCAUGCUGGUUUUGCUAUUAAUCUUUUGCAAAGCUAAUUGUGAUUACAGCAGAAAAUAAUUAUUUCCUCAGUGAUAUUGCAAAAUCAAGCAACUGGAAAAUCAUUUCCAAACUUUUAAAUAUUCUAGAACUACCGUUUUGCUGAGUGAUUGGUGGUGUUUUGCUGUGAGUUGAUACAUGCCUGAUAAUUAUACUGACAAUAUUGACACCUUUGAAUGUUUAAUAGAAAGUUAAGAUUCAUUUGACAAAGGAUAGGUAAUAUCACAUUCUAAAAUUAAAGAUGUGAUGAUAAAACCUUGAAUUUCACCGUUUAGUUAUUAAAAGUGCAUUUAUUUAAGAGAAGUCUGAGAAGUUUUACAUCAUUAUUUUAUUUUAUGUAUGUAUCUUACUUUACAGCUGUUCUAAGGAUUUGAUACUUGAAAGAUUUAUAAAGCCAAGCUAUAUAAAGAACAUUUGAAAACAGAAUCAAUAAUUUCUUACAUAACUAGAGUAGCAGCAUUAUUCUGGAGAUCUUAAGGCAUAUAUUCAAAUGUUAAUUAAUACAGGACCAUUGUGAGGAGAAUAAUUAUUGAUAUAUUCAUAUUAUGAGUGAAUAAACUAGUCACAGAGCAUAUUCUAACACUGCUGAGAAUGCAGUAAUAACUCCUGCUUGACCAACUUGGUAAACUUCUGGUUUGGUAGAUGAGAGGAAGGCAGUGGAUGUUGCUGACAUUAAUUUCAGUAAGGUCUCCCAUGAGAUCCUCACAGACAAGCUGAUGAAAUAUGGGUUGGAUGGGCAGACAGUGAGGAGGAUUAUAAACUGGCUGAGUGGAUGGGCCCAGAGGGUGAUGAUAGUGACGUGAAAUUGGAGGCCAGUAACCAUCAGUGUAAUCCAGGGGUCAAUACUGGGUCCAGUCCUGUUUAAGAUCUGUGUUAAUGAUGGGGAAGGUUGUGCCCUCAGCAAGUCUGAAGAUGACACAAACCUGGGGGGAAUGGCUGAUAGGUGCUGCCAUCCAGAGAGGCUUCAUCAGGCUGAAGAAAUGGGAUGACAGGAACCUCAUGAAGUUCAGCAAGGAGAAAUGCAGUCCUGCACCUGGGGAAGAACAAUCCAAGGCACCAUUAUAUGCUGGGGGCUGCUCAGCUGGAAAUAAGUUUGACAGGAAAGAACUUGUGGGGUCCUAGUGAACACCAAGUUGAACAUCAGUCCCCAGUGUGUCCUUGCUGCAGGGAGGGUGAGAGGGAUGCUUAUCUGCUGCAGGCAGAGCGUUGACAGCAGGUUGAGGGAGGUGAUCCUCCUCUCUCAGCACUGGUGGGCCACUCCUGGAGUGCUGUGUCCAGCUCAGGGCUCCACAUAGGAGAGACAGGGACCUGUGGGGGUAGACAGAGAGAGCCGGGACAGUUCAGCGUAGAGAACAAAGUCUCAGUGGGGAAUCUCAAUGUGCGAAGGAAGGGUGAUAUCAGUGGGGCCCCGUGACAGGAUCAGAGGUGACAGGCAAUACUGAAACACAAAAGGCUCCCUCUGAACAUCAGGAACCAUUUUUUUACUGUGAAGGAGACUGAGCAGAUGUUGCCCAGGAAGGUUGUGAGAUCUUCCUCCCUGAAGAUAUCCAAAAGCUGUCCAUACAUGGUGCUGGGCAGGUGUCUGUAGGUGGGUGAGCUUGAGCAGGUGGUUGAGCCAUGUCACCUCCUGAGGUUACUCCCAACCUCAACUAUUUUGUGGUUCUAACUAAGAUUCCAGUUUUUCUCUCACAUCAUAUACUCUGUAAAAUCCUUAUGAACCUGGAUAUUUUUUGUGCUGUGUUUCCAUGUUUCUUACUCUAUUCAUAUUCUGAAGUAACACACAUUUUUUGGGAUAAGUUCUCUUUUUUUCUUCUUAAAGUUAUACUCUUUCUUCUUUGCACUGCCUGCUUCCACACUGAUUUUCCUCCUUCCCUCCCUUCUUCCUCCAUCUGUUUGGAUUAAUUUUCCCUAUCAUGGUAUUUUUGACUGUUGAAGGUGCCCAUUCUGCCUUUAUUUUUCACUCUUCUCUUGCCUGAAAGCCCAAAUAUCUACCAUCACAACUGUUUUCUUCCUUUUCUUCCUUCAACAGCAGAGAUCAUAUCUCCAGCCUGUCCCUCCUUCUCUCCCACUCCACUUUCCCAAUCCCUGCUAUUAAGUCUCCUUGGCAUUUUUUUCCUAAGCCUUUGCCCAUCUCUCCUCCUGCUCCCUAUGUGGAAUGUCUUCUAAACAAAAUCACUCAUCCCAGCUUUGUCACUAAACAAGAUUUCAGAAGAAAUAAUUAAAAAAUGAAUAAACACAAGUAUUUCCCAGAGUACCAUAAGCACUGAGUGUAGGCAAGGUUGUGCUAUAAUGAUUAUAGCGAAAAAGAAAAGCUAUCUCUGGUAGUGUCAGUAUAUCUGGUACCUUCAAUUUCUCUCAUUUCACAUUGAUAUCUGCUUCUUUUUUUUAUGUUGUGGAGUGCCUGUGGCUUCCUCUGUCCACCUGGGAGAAGGAGAAGGGCUUAACAUGAGCAGUAUGGCUUGAUAUGAGCAGUCUGACUUUGCCAGCUGGAGUUUAAAUGUCCCCUUCAUUUGUCCCCUAGGACAUCUCUGUUGUGACUUCAGACAUGGCACCAUGGGUUUUAUUAUUAUCACCUAUUUUAUCACAUCUUUGACAACUAGAGUCCCCUCUCACCUGCAGGUUACUUUUUCCCUUUUGUCUCUUCUGAAGAUGCAGUGGUAAAGUCCCAGAGUGGGCUGUAAGCUGAAGCCUUUACUAAGGCUUUUUAAGAGAAUUCCUUUGUGGGAUUCUGUCCCCCACUGUUUGUGCCUUUUUGAUAUGAUUCUCUCUCUCUCACACACAUAAAAUGACUCCUAGUCUUGCAGUUGAUAUUGAUGGAUUGGUUUUCAUGCUGUGUUUCUUUUGUUUUUAAUCUGUGUUUGUUGCAGAACCUCAAGAUCUGGGUGAUCUGAGUCCUGCUUUAGUCUAAGUCUAUUAGGGUAGACGUUCAGGCAGCUACUACACUACAAACAUCAGAUUAAUUGUUCUUUUUAUCAGUAUUUAGGCAGGAUGUAAAUUUGGGGGCAGCCUUAAACAAUUUGCAGCUCAUCAGGAAUCCUGGAAAGAGGGAAUUAUGGAAGGAGGAUGUUCUAUAAUAAAGAAAUAUGGGGAAACUUCCUUUUGCCUCUGACAGUCCUUCUGACUUUUUCAAAUGCUGAGUCAGUGCUUAAUCAAGCAGCAGUUCUGUCAAAACUCACAGGCAUGAAGCACAUGAAUCAGCUCAUAUGAUACACUGGCAAGGACGCCCUUGAAUUUUGGUGGGGUCGGAGCCCAAUUUAAGAGUAAUCCUACUGACCACUGGAUGUCACUGCGACACUGCAGGAAUGAAAAUUGAGGCAAGGAUUUUCAAAAGUAUCCAAAGAAUUUAAGAGCAUGAGUCCUUAUGACCAUUAUUUCAACUUUAGGAAUUUCCCUAAAAUUUGCUGUUAGCCUACAUUGCACUGAUGAAUAGUGAGCUUUAAUUUUGAGAGUUAGACACUCUAAUCUAUCAAAAAGUGUAUUAAUUAGUAUAACUAAAAUGUGUGUUUGUGUCUCAGAAAGGGGAUUCCC